UACGUAUGGGGCAAGCGUUAUCCGGAUUUACUGGGUGUAAAGGGAGCGUAGGCGGCGGGGCAAGCCUGAUGUGAAAGCCCGGGGCUCAACCCCGGGACUGCAUUGGGAACUGCCCUGCUGGAGUGCCGGAGGGGCAGGCGGAAUUCCUAGUGUAGCGGUGAAAUGCGUAGAUAUUAGGAGGAACACCAGUGGCGAAGGCGGCCUGCUGGACGGUGACUGACGCUGAGGCUCGAAAGCGUGAGGAGCAAACAGG
rnacentral:rRNA from 1 species